rnacentral:rRNA from 1 species
CAUGCCUAACACAUGCAAGUCGAAUGCUGGAAGUUCCCGCUAAGCGGGAAUCAAGGCAUGGCAGACGGGUGCGUAAUGUAUAGGAACAUACCCUUUGGUGGGGGAUAACAUCGGGAAACUGGUGCUAAUACCGUAUACGCCCUUUGGGGGAAAGAUUUAUCGGAGAGAGAUCGGCCCGCGUCUGAUUAGAUAGUUGGUGGGGUAAUGGCCUACCAAGUCUACGAUCAGUAGCUGGUUUGAGAGGAUGAUCAGCAACACUGGGACUGAGACACGGCCCAGACUCCUACGGGAGGCAGCAGUGGGGAAUCUUAGACAAUGGGCGCAAGCCUGAUCUAGCCAUGCCGCGUGAAUGAUGAAGGUCUUAGGAUUGUAAAAUUCUUUCACCGGGGAAGAUAAUGACGGUACCCGGAGAAGAAGCCCCGGCUAACUUCGUGCCAGCCGCCGCCGUAAAAC